AUUAAUUUGGCAGAUUAGUGCGAUAAAUUUAGAAUUUAUUUAUGUGAAUUAUCACAUUUAAUA
rnacentral:tRNA from 1 species